UACGAAGGGUGCAAACGUUGCUCGGAAUCACUGGGCGUAAAGCGCACGUAGGCGGGUCGUUAAGUCGGGGGUGAAAUCCUGGAGCUCAACUCCAGAACUGCCUUCGAUACUGGCGAUCUUGAGUCUGGGAGAGGUGAGUGGAACUCCGAGUGUAGAGGUGAAAUUCGUAGAUAUUCGGAAGAACACCAGUGGCGAAGGCGACUCGCUGGACAAGUAUUGACGCUGAGGUGCGAAAGCGUGGGGAGCGAACAGG
rnacentral:rRNA from 1 species